rnacentral:rRNA from 1 species
GAUGAACGCUAGCGGCAGGCUUAAUACAUGCAAGUCAAGGGGGUAGCAAUACAACCGGCGCACGGGUGAGUAACGCGUACACAACAUACCAUAUACUGGAGUAUAGCUUUGGGAAACUGAAGGUAAUCCUCCAUAACAUUGCGAGAGGGCAUCUGAUUGCAAUUAAAGUUUCGGCGGUAUAUGAUUGGUGUGCGUUUGAUUAGCUAGUUGGUAGGGUAACGGCCUACCAAGGCGACGAUCAAUAGCUGGCGUGAGAGCGCGACCAGCCACACUGGAACUGAGACACGGUCCAGACUCCUACGGGAGGCAGCAGUAGGGAAUAUUGGACAAUGGAGGAAACUCUGAUCCAGCCAUGCCGCGUGAUAGAUGAAGGCCCUCUGGGUUGUAAAUAUCUUUUAUCUGGGAAGAAACACUCCUAUUCUUAGGAACUUGACGGUACCAGAGGAAUAAGCACCGGCUAACUCCGUGCCAGCAGCCGCGGUAAAGUAG